rnacentral:lncRNA from 1 species
AAUUGUCCCAAAGCUGCACCUGAGAUAAACUCUCCCGUACGCCCGUAUGAAGCAGCAUUGGCACACACACACACACACACACACACACACACCACAGAGACCCGAUAAGCCUUCUCUCUUCACGCCCGCAUGGAUGCACCGCUGCAUAUAGGCUGAGGGGCCUCGAGGCGGUUCUGCACUUGGAACCGGAUCACGGAGCCCUGGAACACGUGGAGGUUCUCUUUUGGGGGCUAGCGUAAGAGAAAUGUGCGGAGGUGUCGCGAGAGAAUCUGCAGAAACCCUUUGAAGCAGGUGGUGUUGUUUUCUGUAAAGCAGUCAUCUGGAAAGGCACCAGUGGAGUGCUUUUGGAAGGUGUGCAUUUAUCUUUCUAACACACGGCAGUAUCCGUAGAGCACAGGGAAGUACGUUUGGAAAACACGUGGCAGUUUGCUUAGAACAAAGCAAAGUAUUCUCAGAACAUACAUAAGUGUAAGAAUCUUUUGAAUACAAGAAAGAAUCUUUUGGAUAUGGGACAGGUAUUCGUAUGUUUGUCACAACAUGUGCACACACCUUUGAGGAGAGUAUUGCCCUUUAAAGAGUUUGUUUUUAGAACACAGUCAGGUACUGUAGGUGCCCUUUAAAGAGUAUGUUUUUAGAACACAGUCCUUUAAAGAGUAUGUUUUUAGAACACAGUCAGGUAGGUGCCCUUUAAAGAGUAUGUUUUUAGAACACAGUCAGGUAGGUGCCCUUUAAAGAGUAUGUUUUUAGAACACAGUCAGGUAGGUGCCCUUUAAAGAGUAUGUUUUUAGAACACAGUCAGGUAGGUGCCCUUUAAAGAGUAUGUUUUUAGAACACAGUCAGGUAGGUGUCCUUUAAAGAGUAUGUUUUUAGAACACAGUCAG